rnacentral:rRNA from 1 species
CCGCAAGGUUAAAACUCAAAGGAAUUGACGGGGACCCGCGCAAGCGGUGGAUGAUGUGGAUUAAUUCGAUGCAACGCGAAAAACCUUACCUACCCUUGACAUGCCAGGAACUUUCCAGAGAUGGAUUGGUGCCCGAAAGGGAGCCUGGACACAGGUGCUGCAUGGCUGUCGUCAGCUCGUGUCGUGAGAUGUUGGGUUAAGUCCCGCAACGAGCGCAACCCUUGUCAUUAAUUGCCAUCAUUUAGUUGGGCACUUUAAUGAGACUGCCGGUGACAAACCGGAGGAAGGUGGGGAUGACGUCAAGUCCUCAUGGCCCUUAUGGGUAGGGCUUCACACGUCAUACAAUGGUCGGUACAGAGGGUUGCCAAGCCGCGAGGUGGAGCCAAUCCCAGAAAGCCGAUCGUAGUCCGGAUCGCAGUCUGCAACUCGACUGCGUGAAGUCGGAAUCGCUAGUAAUCGCGGAUCAGCAUGUCGCGGUGAAUACGUUCCCGGGUCUUGUACACACCGCCCGUCACACCAUGGGAGUGGGUUCUACCAGAAGUAGUUAGCCUAACCGUAAGGAGGGCGAUUACCACGGUAGGAUUCAUGACUGGGGUGAAGUCGUAACAAGG